AGUGAACGCUGGCGGUAGGCCUAACACAUGCAAGUCGAACGGCAGCACAGUAAGAGCUUGCUCUUACGGGUGGCGAGUGGCGGACGGGUGAGGAAUACAUCGGAAUCUACUUUUUCGUGGGGGAUAACGUAGGGAAACUUACGCUAAUACCGCAUCCGACCUACGGGUGAAAGGAGGGGAUCUUCGGACCUUGCGCGAUUGAAUGAGCCGAUGUCGGAUUAGCUAGUUGGCGGGGUAAAGGCCCACCAAGGCGACGAUCCGUAGCUGGUCUGAGAGGAUGAUCAGCCACACUGGGACUGAGACACGGUCCAGACUCCUACGGGAGGCAGCAGUGGGGAAUAUUGGACAAUGGGCGCAAGCCUGAUCCAGCCAUACCGCGUGGGUGAAGAAGGCCUUCGGGUUGUAAAGCCCUUUUGUUGGGAAAGAAAAGCAGCAGGUUAAUACCCCGCUGUUCUGACGGUACCCAAAGAAUAAGCACCGGCUAACUUCGUG
rnacentral:rRNA from 1 species